AACGAACGCUGGCGGCAUGCCUAACACAUGCAAGUCGAACGAGACCUUCGGGUCUAGUGGCGCACGGGUGCGUAACGCGUGAGAACCUGCCCUUAGGUUCGGAAUAACUCCCCGAAAGGGGUGCUAAUACCGGGUAAUGUCUUCGGACCAAAGAUUUAUCGCCUUUGGAUGGGCCCGCGUUGGAUUAGCUAGUUGGUAGGGUAAAAGCCUACCAAGGCGACGAUCCAUAGCUGGUCUGAGAGGAUGAUCAGCCACACUGGGACUGAGACACGGCCCAGACUCCUACGGGAGGCAGCAGUGGGGAAUAUUGGACAAUGGGCGAAAGCCUGAUCCAGCAAUGCCGCGUGAGUGAUGAAGGCCUUAGGGUUGUAAAGCUCUUUUACCCGGGAUGAUAAUGACAGUACCGAGAGAAUAAGCUCCGGCUAACUCCGUG
rnacentral:rRNA from 1 species